rnacentral:rRNA from 1 species
AUGUACGCCAUCUGAAACUUUGAUGGGGAAGAUGUGUACAAGAAAAUUUUUGAUGCCACAAACAAUUUCAGCAAUGAUUUUUGCAUCAGAUCUGGAGGGAAUGGAUCUGUCUAUAGGGCUUAGUUACCAACAGGUGAAUUAUUAGCGGUGAAGAAGAUCCAUGUGGCAGAAGACGAUGAGCAAUUUAACCGUUAAAUACACUCAUUGGUGCACAUUCGAUAUCGGAACAUUGCAAAGUUAUUUUGUUACUGCUCUGCAAUUCAGGGAAGAUUCCUUGUAUAUGAUUACAUGGACAGAGGGAGCUUAGCAGCAUCUUUAAAUUGUCUGGCAACUGCAGUUGAAAUGGAUUGGACGAGGAGGUUAUGUAAGGGUCUAAGGGAUGUUGCUCAUGCUUUGUUAUACAUGCAUCACAGUUGCUUUGCACCGAUAGUCCACAGAGAUAUAAAGAGCAGCAAUGUUUUGCUUGAUCUGGAAUUUAAAGCUUGCAUCUCGGAUUUUGGUCUAGCAAAAAUACUAGAUGUGAAUGGGUCAAACUGCACAAAUCUUGUCGGGACAAAAGGAUAUCUUGCCCCAGAGCUUGCAUACACAACAAGGGUGACCGAGAAGUGUGAUGUUUAUAGCUUGGGAGUGCUGGUUCAAGAGUUGUUCAUGGGACAUCACCCAGGUGAUUUCCUUUCAUCCAUUGCCGACAAAACUACAUUACUUUGGAAUUUGCUGGACACACGGCUCCCACUCCCGGGAGCUGAGAUCGCAAGUGAGAUGUUUCAAGUGAUUGUCGUCGCUGUUUGGUGCGUAGAGCCUGAUCCAUCAUACCGUCCAACGAUGCAGCAAGUACUCAAGGUGUUCUCAACAGUUGAACGAUCACCUACUGAUAAUCUUGAUUAUCUCAACACUGGCAUUGUCAUCCCUGCCUGCUGGUCAUGA